rnacentral:rRNA from 1 species
CAUGCCGUAAACGAUGAUUACUAGGUGUGGGGGGUCUGACCCCUUCCGUGCCGGAGUUAACACAAUAAGUAAUCCACCUGGGAAGUACGACCGCAAGGUUGAAACUCAAAGGAAUUGACGGGGGCCCGCACAAGCAGUGGAGUAUGUGGUUUAAUUCGAAGCAACGCGAAGAACCUUACCAGGUCUUGACAUCCAGCGAAUCCUUCAGAGAUGAGGGAGUGCCCUUCGGGGAACGCUGAGACAGGUGG